rnacentral:rRNA from 1 species
AGCUACGGCCAUGCCACCCUGAACAAGCCCAAUGUCUGAUCUCAGAAGCUAAGCAGGGUCGGACCUGGUUAGUACUUGGAUGGGAGACCACCUAGGAAGACCAGGUGCUAUAGGCA